UUUGGUGGCGAUAGCGAAGAGGUCACACCCGUUCCCAUGCCGAACACUGAAAUUAAGCUCUUCAGCGCCGAUGGUAGUUGGGGGCUU
rnacentral:rRNA from 1 species